GGUCAAGAAGAGAAGCGCAAACGGUGGAUGCCUUGGCAGUAAGAGGCGAAGAAGGACGUGGAAUCCUGCGAAAAGCUAUGGGGAGCUGGAAACGAGCGUUGAGCCAUAGAUGUCCGAAUGGGGGAACCCGGCUGCAGCGAUGCGGUCAUUUGCAUUUGAAUACAUAGGAUGCAAAGGCGAACUCGGGGAACUGAAACAUCUAAGUACCCGAAGGAAAAGAAAUCAAGAGAGAUUCUCCAAGUAGCGGCGAGCGAACGGGGAGGAGCCUGGCGUGAUUUAUUAUUGAACUGAGUAGAACAAUUUGGGAAAGUUGGCCGAAGAGGGUGAAAGCCCCGUAUACGAAGGUUUGAUGAGGAACUAGGCACGCGAACAAGUAGGCCGGGACACGUGAAAUCCUGGUUGAAGAUGGGUGGACCAUCAUCCAAGGCUAAAUACUACUUACUGACCGAUAGUGAACCAGUACCGUGAGGGAAAGGUGAAAAGAACCCCGGAGAGGGGAGUGAAAUAGAAUCUGAAACCGUUUGCGUACAAGCAGUGGGAGCAUGGUUUAGGCUGUGUGACUGCGUACCUUUUGUAUAAUGGGUCAGCGAGUUACUUUCAGUGGCGAGGUUAACUGAAUAAGGGAGCCGUAGAGAAAUCGAGUCUGAAUAGGGCGAUAGUCGCUGGGAGUAGACCCGAAACCGGGCGAUCUAGCCAUGUGCAGGAUGAAGGUUGGGUAACACCAACUGGAGGUCCGAACCGGGUAAUGUUGAAAAAUUAUCGGAUGACGUGUGGCUAGGAGUGAAAGGCUAAUCAAGCCCGGAGAUAGCUGGUUCUCCCCGAAAGCUAUUUAGGUAGCGCCUCGUGAAUGAUUACUGGGGGUAGAGCACUGUUUCGGCUAGGGGGCUGUCAUGGCUUACCAAACCGAUGCAAACUCCGAAUACCGGCUAAUUGAAUCACGGGAGACACACGGCGGGUGCUAACGUCCGUCGUGGAGAGGGAAACAACCCAGACCGCCAGCUAAGGUCCCCAAGUACUAGUUAAGUGGGAAACGAUGUGGGAAGGCAUAGACAGCCAGGAGGUUGGCUUAGAAGCAGCCACCCUUUAAAGAAAGCGUAAUAGCUCACUGGUCGAGUCGGCCUGCGCGGAAGAUGUAACGGGGCUAAAACUAGUCACCGAAGCUGCGGAUGUGCGCGAAGGCGCACGUGGUAGGGGAGCGUUCUGUAGGCUGAUGAAGGUGCAUUGAGAAGUGUGCUGGAGGUAUCAGAAGUGCGAAUGCUGACAUGAGUAACGAUAAUGUGGGUGAAAAGCCCACACGCCGGAAGUCCCAGGUUUCCUGCACGACGUUAAUCGGAGCAGGGUGAGUCGGCCCCUAAGGCGAGGCUGAAGAGCGUAGUCGAUGGGAACCAGGUUAAUAUUCCUGGACUUUUUAUAAGUGGUGAAGUGGGGACGAAGAAGGCUAGGUGAGCCAGGCGUUGGUUGUCC
rnacentral:rRNA from 1 species